rnacentral:rRNA from 1 species
UACAGAGGUCCCAAGCGUUGUUCGGAUUCACUGGGCGUAAAGGGUGCGUAGGCGGUCGGGUAAGUCUGAUGUGAAAUCUCACAGCUUAACUGUGAAACUGCAUUGGAUACUAUCCGGCUUGAGGAAUGGAGGGGAGACUGGAAUACUUGGUGUAGCAGUGAAAUGCGUAGAUAUCAAGUGGAACACCAGUGGCGAAGGCGAGUCUCUGGACAUUUCCUGACGCUGAGGCACGAAAGCUAGGGGAGCAAACAGG